CGUGGACAGUAUGGCUGGCUGGCUGGCUGGCUGGCAGAGCUGCAGAACCCCAGACAAGGUGGUACUGUCAGGUGCUGGAGAGAUCAUGUCACUGGAAGCUCCGUGGAGACAGCUUUUGGAGAGGAUAGAAUAACCAGAGCCCUGCGCGGAUACAAAAUUUGCAUCUGCAUCUGGAAAUAUGAGCUGUGGCUUUUGAUACCUGCAGAUAUAAAGCGGAUAUCUCCAGAUUUGCAGGGCUGUAAGAAUAACUCCUCUACUGGACACUGUGUGUGUUUGGGGGAGCAGCUGGUAAAGCCUGAGAUCUUCAUCUUCCCCAGCUUGCUAUGGGCGUUCACGUCCAGCCUGCCGGAGGGAGUGAAGGAAAUUGACACCAGGUCCAUUCCGGAGGGUCCGUUCAAGCCCCACCCCUAUAAAAUCUGUGCUUCCAUUUGCUGGGCUGCACCUCCCCACAAAGCACUGGAAGAGCCAUUAGGCUGGCAGGCAUGUGCUUGUGAAUUUUCACCUUCUCUUCUUACGUCCCACUUUGAUGGUUGUGUCAGUUCAGGUGUGUGGAGUCCAUUUCUCGAUCUAUUAGACCUGGGACAAUUCAUCUGUAGCCCAUUGCCACUUCAUUACUGAUCACUGCCCAGGCUUCCUCCUGCACAGAGCAGAGAAAGAAAAUGUGAAACAAGGCAUUAGAGAGUCAGGCUUUAGUUAGGGUGGACCAGGAAUUUGUUAGCUGUCCCACUGAAGUUGGAGGUGUAGCAGCAGAAAGAAAGGGUUAACCUGCAGCCCUGCGAGGCUCAAUGGGUCAGAAACAGAAUGGCAAAGCUCUGACAGACCCUGUCAGGAAGGGCAGUGACUCUUUCAUCCUGGCUAGUGCAGCAUCCUCAGGCCUAUGCACAGAUAGGAGCAAAGGGGCAGAACACUUGCAUAGCCAGUCAGGUUAAAGCUCACUGCUAGUUUUACUCUUCCACAUGCUGCUUGAA